AAGAAAGUAAGGAUAAUAGGAAAUGAAGAUGGUGAGGUGGUCGUGUAGGAUCAUGUUGGAAUGCUUGAUGAUGGUUUUGUAUGGAAAAAGGUAAUGGAAAAUGAUGAUAGUGUAAUAAAAGUGAUGAAAUUAAUAAGCUAAUAGAAUGGAGUGAUUAUGUGAUGAGAAAAUAUGUGUGUUAGAAAUAAGAUGAUGGUAUGAGAGAGAAGAGAUGUGUUGCUAGAAAAGAGUGAUGGUGUGGGGGAAAAGAAAUUUGUCUUGUUGAAGAAUGAUGGAGUGAGAGAGAAAAGAUGUGUGCAUGUAAGGAUAUGUGUUGUCCAAAUGGAGUGAAAAAUGUGUGAGUAUUUAUAUAGUUAUGGAUGGAGAAGAAGAUGAAUAAAAGAAAUAAAAAAAUCAAUGGAAUAAAGAGAAAAUGUUAGUGUAAUAUAAAAAGGACAAUGAUAUUUUAACAACUCUUUUUUAACAAUUUUUUUACAACAGGACACGUGUCACCAUUUUAUUAGUCUGUUUGAAUUUAUUUUAAAAAAUUAUUUGAAACGGACCAAUCACAAACUGCCACAUAUGCAUUGUCAAAAAAUUAUCAAAAAAUUGUCAAAAAAGAGUUUUUAAAGAGACUUUUUCCAUAUAAAAAUGGGAUGGAAAAAAAGUAGAAGGAAUAAAGUGGACGAAGGAAAUAAUAAUAAUAAAAAAAAGAGGUUGCAAAAAAGUAGAUGAAUAAAGUACAAUUUGAAAAAGUAAAUGGAAUAAUUACAAAAGUUAGUAUGAAAAAAUUAAUAUAAAAAAAGGAUGGAAAGAGUGAAGGAAUAAAGUGGAUGAAGGAAAUAAUGAAAAAGAAGGUUGGCACAAAAAGUAGAUGAAUAAAGUAUAAUUUGAAAAAGUAAAUGGAGUAAUUAGAAACGUCAGUAUAGAUAAACUGAUAUGAAAAAAAAGGGAUGGGAAGAAUGAAGGAAUAAAGUGGAUGAAGAAAAUAAUAAAAAGAAGGUUGGUAGAAAAAGUAGAUGAGUAAAGUUUAAUUUGAAAGAGUAAAUGGAAUAAUUAGAGAAGUUAGUAUGGAGAAAUUAAUAUAAAAAAAGGGAUGGAAAGAAUGAAGGAAUAAAGUGGAUGAAGGAAAUAAUAAAAAGGUUUAGUAGAAAAAGUAGACGAAUAAAGUAUAAUUUGAAAAAGUAAAUGGAAUAAUUCGAAAAGUUAGUACAAAAAAUUAUAAAAAAAGAGAUGGAAAAAAUGAAGAAAUAAAGUGGAUGAAGGAAAUAAUAAAAAAAGGUCAGUAGAAAAAGUUGAUGAAUAAAGUAUAAUUCGAAAAAGUAAAUGGAAUAAUUAGAAAAGUUAGUAUGGACAAAUUAAUAUAAAACGGAGGUGGAAAGAGUAGAUAAAAAAGUAUGUGACAUGGAUGGUGGUGUGGAAUGUGACGUGGAGUCUGAUGUGGACUAUCAUGUGGAGGGUGAUGCGGAGACUAAGGUGUGAGAAGAAAAAAAAGGGUGGUGAGGGAAUAAAAAUGUGUUGGAUUAGCUAGCCUAGUAGGAUAAAGGGUAAAAAGUUAAGUUAGGGGUGCAAACAGUAAAACAAAUUAUAUUUUUUUUUGUGAUGAAUUUUAUUUAUCUGGACAAAAUUAGGUGUUGAAAUUAAGUAUAAGACAACAGUGAGAGUAUUUGUACAAAAUGUAAUAGUAGAAGUACUGACGAUAGAAUGUUAAUAACAUGUCCUUGUAUAAUUAUUUUGAAUGAAGAACAUUAUAUGUUAUGAAAACUGGGGAACAUCUUUUGUGUGAUGACAUUUUAAAAAUUAUACGAUAUGGAUAUGACAUGAUGAAUUGUUGGAUUUGUUAAGCCUGUGUAUUGAUAUUCAAUGUCGUUCUUGAAAUUAAACAUUCCAAGUUUUCUUUACAUUUAUUCAUUGAUUGUGUAUAUUCUUUUAAUGUUCUUCUUGUACAAAUUAAUUUGGGAUUUUAAGGAAUUAGAAAAGAUCAAUUUGGAUUAGACCUAAUUCUUAUAGACAAUAUGGUUGAACCAUAUAUGGAGCCAUUAGACAUAAAUUGAUACCAACUAUAAGGACCUAGUCUUAUGUGCUAAGUGCAAUGUAGGCGAAAGGUGCAAUAGAUAUCAAAGAAUAAGAUAAAUGAUUAGGAAUAACAAGUAUAGAAUCUGAUGGGAGGGACAAAUGACAACAGUAGAUGAGUUUCUCACGAACAAAAAAAGUAGAUGUUAGGUGGAUUAGGACGAGGCAAAGGAUAUGAAGUACAUUAGAAAGAGGGAAGUGUUGAAUAAUGUUAAUGGAAGAACUUUCUUGAACCUUCCUGAUAUAGCACUUCCGUCGAGUAUAAGAUAUUUCAAGAGUUAGUAAACGCUCAACUUUGUAAAUGAUUUUAAACAAAGAUUUUUUUUUCGCGAGCUAUGUAGGAUAUUUACUGUAGUGUUUGCAAGAACUUUUUGAUGAACAAUCGUUUAAUGUGGGGAGUUUUUGUAUUUAAAACUAAAAUGCAACUGCAGGUUUUGUGAAAGAAGCGUUGAGAUUGAAAUAAAUAAUAAAUGCACAAAUAUUUCUAUAUUAGUUCACUCCAACUAAGCUACAUGUAGUCUCUUCUAUCUUAGAUGACUCCACUAUAAUCUUCAACAAGAUUACAAUUGUGUAUUUUCACCACUCUUGGUAUCCCUAGGCAUUCUUGGUAUCCCUCGAUAAUCUGCUUAGUUGAGUUUCACCCACUCCCGGUUGUGCAUUCUUCAUCACUCUUGGUAUCCCAGAAUAACUCCUGUUACCCUAGACUGAUUGAGUUUCACCACUCUCGGUACUAGACAAUCCUGGUAUCCUUUGAUAUGCUACCUAGAUUUCCUUAGCUCGCUUGAGUUUCACAACAAGUGUUUUGAUUCACUAGUGCAAAAACGCGGAUUAAUG
rnacentral:lncRNA from 1 species